rnacentral:rRNA from 1 species
UACGUAGGGGGCGAGCGUUGUCCGGAGUUACUGGGCGUAAAGCGCACGCAGGCGGUCUGCUAAGUUUGGAGUGACAGUUGGUGGCUUAACUGCCAAAGUGCUUCGAAAACUGACAGACUUGAGGGCUUCAGAGGGACACGGAAUUCCGGGUGGAGUGGUGAAAUGCGUAGAGAUCCGGAGGAACCCCAGAGGCGAAGGCGGCGUUCUGGCUCGCAACUGACGCUCAGACACGACAGCAUGGGGAGCGAACGGG